rnacentral:rRNA from 1 species
UACGUAGGGUCCGAGCGUUGUCCGGAAUUAUUGGGCGUAAAGAGCUCGUAGGUGGUCUGUCACGUCGGAUGUGAAAACUCGGGGCUCAACCCCGAGCCUGCAUUCGAUACUGCCGUGCUUGAGGACUGGAGAGGAGACUGGAAUUUACGGUGUAGCGGUGAAAUGCGUAGAUAUCGUAAGGAAGACCAGUGGCGAAGGCGGGUCUCUGGACAGUUCCUGACGCUGAGGCACGAAGGUCAGGGGAGCAAACGGG